ensembl:snoRNA SCARNA10 small Cajal body-specific RNA 10
GCCCAAUGAUGAGACCAAGGCGAAUACGAGCUCACUGAAUGAGAGUUGGGUUCUUCUUGCCUUGACUGGCAGGUAAUCUUGGUAGUGCAGGGGAGGAUUCCUGCUCUGCUGUAAGGGCCUGCCUACAGUGAUUUGGCUCUACCCCAAAUUAUUCCCUUAAAGUUACAGUGGAGUAGUCACGGGGAUGAAGCUGACAGUGUGUGUGUGUGUGUGUGUGUGUAAGUGUGUAAGUGAGUGAGUGUAAGAGGCAAGGAGUUCACCCAGCUCUCUUUGCUGUUCAGUCAGCCAUGAGUUGCCUCUUUGGUAAUCUGAGGGCC